rnacentral:lncRNA from 1 species
CAGAUGAUGCUGCGUACUAUUUUGCGUAAACCCUGUCGGUGUGUUCGAAGCGUAAACAGCGUAGCGCCAAGUAGACUGUAGUCCAGUCGAGGUACUGGUGUGUGAAGUCUAAACUGAUGUCUGCCUUAUUCUGCCGUCUGUUGAACUCGUGCAACAUGUAACAGUUUUCUGUUUCUGCUUCAUGAUACAAUCAUAUCCUCAGUGUCAAUAAUAAUUUGAGAGAACAGUUUAGAAAAUAAGACAACUUUCAUUGCACUUUUAUUUUUUUUGGCAAUCAAUCUGCGCAUCUUUCCCUGAUCGUUUCAGACCGUCCUGUUCGUGAGUCGUGGCAGGUAUCCGCAUGCGUCGUCCUCAAACAAUUGAUGCCGUGAGCUGUUCUCAGAUUUUUAAAUAGGCUUACCUUUUAUAUUUUAUCUGGACAUGUUAUUUUUCUCAAAGGCCCGCGGCAUUUGAAGGUUGGGCUCCUGUUGAGGGUGGUCAGAGAUAGAGUCACACCACUACGUGUAGUACUGAGAAGAGUGGCCAAGUUCCAAUACACGGACUGGUGUAUCUAGGUAGGGUGGUCCAGCCCAGGCUCCAGGCUAUGCCUCCCUGGCUGUGGGAGAGCUAUUCCAUGCUGAGUUGAAAGGGACCUGCUUGGCUGGGGAAUACGGGAACAGACAUGGGGCUGGGACAGUCCAACAAGGCUCCUGUCACCGAUGACACAGAGGAGAGUGAGUAAUGACCAAUGACUGUAUAUGAAUGGACAAAGCCAUCGAUCACGUGACACCAUUCAUUCCUAUGUGAAGACUCAAUAUCACAUUGAAGCCAAAUGAAGUCGGUUAAGAUGGGGUCACAUGAGAUAUAACAUGCUCAUUUUGAGUUACUCCGGGAAGUGCCUGUGAAGGCUACCUCAGUGCUGCUCCUACUCAUUGAGUAACUAAAUUAUCCUUAUAACUUCUUCUAUGUGCGAUUUUAAAAUAGUCUGUUCAAAAAGGACAUACACUGAGUGUACAAACAUUCCAUGACAUAGACUGGCCAGGUG